UACGUAGGGUGCGAGCGUUGUCCGGAUUUAUUGGGCGUAAAGAGCGUGUAGGCGGCCAAGCAGGUCAGCUGUGAAAACUCGAGGCUCAACCUCGAGACGUCGGUUGAAACCGCUUGGCUAGAGUCCGGAAGAGGAGAGUGGAAUUCCCGGUGUAGCGGUGAAAUGCGCAGAUAUCGGGAAGAACACCCGUGGCGAAGGCGGCUCUCUGGGACGGUACUGACGCUGAGACGCGAA
rnacentral:rRNA from 1 species